ACUAAACCUAGCCCAAAAUUACCCUCUUAACUAAACAACUAAGAUAAAAUUAAAACAAAACAUUUAUCCCUGAUUUAAAGCAUAGGAGAUAGAAAUUUAAGAUAUGGCGCUAUAGAGAAAGUACCGCAAGGGUAACGAUGUAAAGAAAAAACUAAAAGUACAGAAAAGCAAAGAUUACCCCUUGUACCUCUUGCAUAAUGAAUUAACUAGUAUAAGACUUAACAAAAUGAAUUUCAGCUAAGCAGCCCGAAACCAGACGAGCUACUCACAAACAGUUUAUCAAGAACUAACUCAUCUAUGUGGCAAAAUAGUGAGAAGAUUUGUUGGUAGUAGGGGUACAUGCCUAACGAGCCUGGUGAUAGCUGGUUGUCCAGAAAAUGAAUCUUAGUUCAGCUUUAAAGGUACCAAAAAUUCAAAUAAACCUUACUGUAACUUUAAAAGUUAGUCUAAAAAGGUACAGCCUUUUAGAAACGGAUACAACCUUGACUAGAGAGUAAAAUCUAACACUACCAUAGUAGGCCUAAAAGCAGCCACCAAUUGAGAAAGCGUUAAAGCUCAACAACAAAAACUGAAUAGAUCCCAAUAACAAACAAUUAACUCCUAGCCUUAACACUGGACUAAUCUAUUAUUGAAUAGAAGUAAUAAUGUUAAUAUGAGUAACAAGAAAAAUUUUCUCCUUGCAUGAGUCUAAGUCAGUACCUGAUAAUACUCUGACCAUUAACAGCUAAUAAAAACAACCCAACAAUAAACAAUUUAUUAAUUAUACUGUUAAUCCAACACAGGAGUGCAUCUAAGGAAAGAUUAAAAGAAGUAAAAGGAACUCGGCAAACACAAACCCCGCCUGUUUACCAAAAACAUCACCUCCAGCAUUGCCUAGUAUUGGAGGCAUUGCCUGCCCA
rnacentral:rRNA from 1 species